CGUAUACAACUAAUCGUACCGUGUAAAUGGGCCUUAACUUGAGUAAGAGUACCACUGGUAGUAGAAUUUCAUCCGGCAUUAAAGGAAAUUAAUGGAAUUGUGGAAACACUUUGGCCGAUUCUGGAGACAUCGGAGUGGAUGAGGGAUGUCUUCGGUAGUAGGCCGAUUGUUUCAUAUAAGAUACCAAAAAAUUUAAAAGAUAGUUUGGUUAGAUCUAAGGUUAAAAAGGCUAAGGAGGUAAGUGUAGGGAUGAGUAAGUGUAAUAAGAGUCGUUGUAAUUCGAGUAAGUGUAAUAAGAGAUUUGUAAUUAUGUAGAUGAGGGGAAAGAAUUUCUCGAGGGAAAAGUAAAAUACUACAUUAAUUACAACUUUGAUUGCGAUUCGGCUGGGGUGAUUUAUUUGAUUUAUUGUAGAAAAUGUGGGAAAAAGUAUGUGGGGAGUACAAUUACCAGUUUUAGGAAACGUUUUAACAACCACAAAAGUAGCAUGAAUAGAUAUGGGAGAGGUGAAAGGGGUAUGGCAGGCGAGCAUUUGUAUGCUCAUUUUUUUGAUUAAGGUCAUAAUGGUAUGCAAGAUGUGAAAGUUAAAAUUAUUGAUAAAACUAAUGUUGCAUGUCCCACACAAAGAGAAGGUUUUUGGGCAUAUAAACUGAAUUCGUUUGAACCGCAUGGGUUGAAUUUAAAAGACUUUGUUUGAACAAUAGAGUUAAUCAAGCGAAUUAUUAUAAUUAGGGUAUGGACAGUUUAAAUUGUUGAAAUCAAGUGUACACAUGUAAUCUGAAGAAGGGGCUUGCCCCGAAACGUAAUAAAAAGUUGUUAUACGAGC